rnacentral:rRNA from 1 species
AGUGAACGCUGGCGGCGUGCCUAAUACAUGCAAGUCGAACGAAGUGGCGCACGGAUGAGUAAUAUAUAGUUAAUCUGCCCUACACAGAGGAACAACAGUUGGAAACGACUGCUAAUACCUCAUAGUGUAGGAUGAGACUAUAUCGUAUCAGCUAGUUGGUAAGGUAAUGGCUGACCACGGCUAUGACGCGUAACUGGUCUGAGAUGAUGAACAGUCACAGGGGAACUGAGACACGGUCCAAACUCCUACGGGAGUCAGCAGUAAGGAAUAGUGAGCAAUGGGGGAAACCAUGACGGAGCAACGCCGCGUGGAGGAUUACACUUUUCUGAGCGUAAACUCCUUUUAUCAGGAAAGCGGGACCUGAUGAAUAAGCACCGGCUAACUCCGUGCCAGCAGCCGCGGUAAUUC